AUUGAACGCUGGCGGCAUGCUUUACACAUGCAAGUCGAACGGUAACAGGGUGCUUGCACCGCUGACGAGUGGCGAACGGGUGAGUAAUGCGUCGGAACGUGCCGAGUAGUGGGGGAUAACGCAGCGAAAGUUGUGCUAAUACCGCAUACGUACUGAGGUAGAAAGUGGGGGACCUUCGGGCCUCACGCUAUUCGAGCGGCCGACGUCUGAUUAGCUAGUAGGUGAGGUAAAGGCUCACCUAGACGACGAUCAGGAGCGGGUCUGAGAGGAUGAUCCGCCACACUGGGACUGAGACACGGCCCAGACUCCUACGGGAGGCAGCAGUGGGGAAUUUUGGACAAUGGGCGAAAGCCUGAUCCAGCCAUGCCGCGUGUCUGAAGAAGGCCUUCGGGUUGUAAAGGACUUUUGUCAGGGAGGAAAUCCCUAGUGCUAAUAACACUGGGGGAUGACAGUACCUGAAGAAUAGGCACCGGCUAACUACGUGCCAGCCGCCGCAGUAA
rnacentral:rRNA from 1 species